rnacentral:rRNA from 1 species
GUGGAGCAUGUGGCUUAAUUUGACUCAACGCGGGAAAUCUUACCGGGUCCGGACACACUGAGGAUUGACAGGUUAUAUCAUACUGCUCUCGUUAGCAGCAUGUGUUAAAUAUGCUAGUCCUUUCAUGAUUAUGUGAUAGGUGGUGCAUGGCCGUUCUUAGUUCGUGGAGUGAUCUGUCUGCUUAAUUGCGUUUCACUACGAAUUCGCAUUCAAAUGUAUGUUUGUGUGGUACUUUGAUCCCUGCUUUAACCGGCAGUUGUGCGUCUCUGUACCGUUCUCACAUCGUACUAAGUGAAUUCUGAAAGCAACGAACGUGACCG